GCGGAGGGCUGGAUGGCCGCGAGAGGGCCUAGGCCCUUUCGAGGAAAGUCCGGACUCCAUGAAGUAACGGUGCCGGGUAACGCCCGGGCAGGGCAACCUGACGGAUAGCGCCACAGAAAACAAACUGCCCGUCGCACCCAAGGUGCGCCAAUGGUCCUACCAGAGGUACACCAAGGGAGACUGCGGCGGGUGAGGGUGAAACGGUGGGGUAAGAGCCCACCGGGGGACUGGCAACAGGACCCGCAUGGCAAGCCCCACCGGGAGCAAUGCCGAAUAGGGACCCCGCGCGGGAUUGAUCCUUUCGGGGAUAUCACUGCAGGGCCACUUCAGCCCAGGGGUCCGGGUUGGCAGCUUGAGCCACGCAGCAAUGCGUGGCCUAGAGGAAUGGUCAUCUACGGCAGGGCAACCUGUCGAGACAAAAUCCGGCUUAUAGGCUCUCCGCGCAA
rnacentral:RNase_P_RNA from 1 species